rnacentral:tRNA from 1 species
GCGUCGCUAGCUCAGUUGGAUAGAGCAUCUGACUUCGGAUCAGAGGGCCGGGGGUUCGAAUCCUCCGCGACGCG